UACGGGGGGGGCAAGCGUUGUUCGGAAUUACUGGGCGUAAAGGGCUCGUAGGUGGCCAACUAAGUCAGACGUGAAAUCCCUCGGCUUAACUGGGGAACUGCGUCCGAUACUGGAUGGCUUGGAUUUGGGAGAGGGAUGCGGAAUUCCAGGUGUAGCGGUGAAAUGCGUAGAUAUCUGGAGGAACACCGGUGGCGAAGGCGGCAUCCUGGACCAAUAUUGACGCUGAGGAGCGAAAGCUAGGGGAGCAAACGGG
rnacentral:rRNA from 1 species